rnacentral:tRNA from 1 species
GGCUUCGUGGUUUAGUGGUAUAAUUCUCGCUUAGGGUCCACCCAAAGCAACGCUUGCGAGAGGUCCCGGGUUCGAUCCCCGGCGAAGCCC